rnacentral:rRNA from 1 species
CACCAGACUCCUACGGGAGGCAGCAGUCGGGAAUAUUGUGCAAUGGAGGAAACUCUGACGCAGUGACGCCGCGUAUAGGAAGAAGGUUUUCGGAUUGUAAACUAUUGUCGUUAGGGAAGAGGAAGGACAGUACCUAAGGAGGAAGCUCCGGCUAAAUACGUGCCAGCAGCCGCGGUAAUACGUAUGGAGCAAGCGUUAUCCGGAUUUACUGGGUGUAAAGGGAGAGUAGGUGGCAGAGCAAGUCCGAAGUGAAAACCCAAAGCGCAACUAUGGGAAUGCUUUAGAAACUGCUCAGCUAGAGUGCAGGAGAGGCAAGUGGAAUUCUUAGUGUAGCGGUGAAAUGCGUAGAUAUUAGGAGGAACACCAGUGGCGAAGGCGGCUUGCUGGACUGUAACUGACACUGAGGCUCGAAAGCGUGGGGAGCAAACAGGAUUAGAUACCCGGGUACA